UUAGAAUUUGUCGCCACGCACGCCUACAUCAUAAAACACUUAUUGCCAUGCUGCACCAUAUUAACAACGGAAAACGGAGGAUAUCAUUCGUUCCGUGCAUAUCGCUUUCGAACAACAACCGCCGAUUCAAAACACCGGUCGCUAAAAGCCUUUUCAAAUCAGCGGUACGAACCAGCACCGCCAAGCGGAGAAAGCGAGAACCUCGAAAACGUCACUAUCCACGGCAAGUGACAGCUGCAGGACUCUAUCGAAGGCUCUGCCACGUCAUCGCCAUUCGUCCAGUUCGCUCGAUCGCGUUGGUCGCGACAUCGCGUGUGAAAUAGGAAUCAUCCUCUGGCCACAACCAGAAACCAACCGAGGACACGGGCCUACGAUCCAGUCGACGUGAGACUCGGGAUUGUCACACCACGAGGCCGGCAGUAGACGCCAGAGCCGCCAUUUUGCCGGACUGCGAUUUCACCGGGUCUAGCACUAAGUUGACCGUGCGGCCAAUUGGAGGACGAGAGUAGGCUAUCACUACGGUCACCAAACG